GAACAAUAUGCUAAAAAUUGAACCUUGAAGUAUUUUAAAAGAUUUACAAAACCAAUUUUAAAGCAUCAUUUUUACAGUAUUCUUAAAUUCAUUGUUUAUUGUUGUUGCUGCGAGUCACCAGACAAGCAGCGACACUAAUUUGGCAGUAUAGAUCUCGAUUUGUCCAGGACUCGAGACGAAUUUUCCGGAGAGCGUCGGAUCGUCUUCGGUUUUCAGCUGAAAAGUGCGAUGAAAUUUGAGUGCUUUUCGGAGCCUUUUCGAGAUCCACAUGGUCCCGGUGGCGUGGCUUUCAAUCCAGGUCAUUGUCAGUUUCGAGCUUGACUGUGUCGAAUGUGUGGUGGAGUUAGAAUUGAAUCGAUUGUUGGUUGCACAUGUAUAUAGUUAGUUUGUCAGUUUCACAUGUGUCCUGUGAAAUUGAUUUGGUUUUUGGUGGUUGCACACAAUCCAGGUCAUUGUCAGUUUAGAGCUUGAUGGUGUUGCAUGUUUUCGUUUAGAUAAAUGGAGAUAAGGAGCCUACAAGCUAUCACAUAAUUACGAUGAACUUCUACACCAACCCAGGGAACAGAGGAUCCUGCGGAAAAUACCUCAAAUACCAACAGAGGGUGCACGUUAUCGGAUGACAUCGGCCGAUGACGAAAUGAUGAAGAUACUAUUUCGAAACCGGUUUAAAUACUGUAGUGUUUAAACAAAUUUAAAAAUUAAAAAGCAUUUAUUUAAAUUUAAUACUGAAAAGCAUAUUGUGGAUAAAGCAUUUAUUUAAAAAAUUGAAAAGCAUAUUGUAGAUAAAGCAUUAUUUUAUUUAAAGAGUUUAAUACUGAGGAGCACUAUAUGUAUAAACCAUUUUUUUUUUAACAGAUUUAAUUUCUGUGAGGCAUGUUUUUCAUUUAGCCACUUUUUUGAAACAGUUUUAAAUAUUGAGAAAAUAUUUAAAAGUUUUACAUAUUUUUCUGUUAAAACAGAUUUAAAUACUGUGAAGGCUAUUGUGAAUAACUUUUUUUUUGACAUAUUUGAAUACUGUGAAGCAUAUUGUGGUUAACAAUAAAUAUUAUUAUGUAAAGUAUAUUAUUAUGUUGUUUUGUAGCAUUGUAAACAAAAUUUUUGAAAUCCAUUAUAAGCCACCAAAUCAUACAUUUCUACUAACGUUUAUUAAUAAAACUGAAAAUCAGUACGCCCUUAUAUGUACUGAAGUAUCUAUUAGUAUUUACAUGAAUUGCAUACUCGCAGCAUUUUACUUUCUAUUAGAAACUGCUAGUUAAUAUUUUUGUAAUUACGACUCAGAAUCAUGCAUUAAGAAUGCAACAACUUUAUACAACCUCCAGAGGGCAGUAUACAUGAGUGUCCCAUGUGCACCAAAAAAUUAUUUUUUCA